UACAGAGGGUGCAAGCGUUAAUCGGAAUUACUGGGCGUAAAGCGCACGCAGGCGGUUGGUUAAGUCAGAUGUGAAAGCCCGGGCUCAACCUGGGAAUUGCAUUUGAAACUGGCCAACUAGAGUACGUGAGAGGGGGGUAGAAUUCCAAGUGUAGCGGUGAAAUGCGUAGAGAUUUGGAGGAAUACCAGUGGCGAAGGCGGCCCCCUGGCACGAUACUGACGCUCAGGUGCGAAAGCGUGGGGAGCAAACAGG
rnacentral:rRNA from 1 species